rnacentral:lncRNA from 1 species
CGCGGGUCUAAUUGUGGAUGGAACUUGUGAUCCCGUUGGGAAAUGCAUUUGGGGGCAGGAAACUCCUCUUUGAUUGGUUAAUUUGGGAUGGAGCUUGUGAUCCUGUUGGAGAAAACCGUCCGAGAGAUCCGGUCCGCGCUUAUGCGAUUAGACAUGUUACCUUGCCCACAGUGCGUGCGUGGGUUCUGACUAGUGAUAUAUUUAGAUCAGUUUAGCGUGUUUAGGUUCGUUCUUAUUUAUUGCAACCUUUCAUCAAUCUUGUAUGGUGUGUAUUCAUGGUUAUGGUAGGUAUUGUGCAGAGGAUCCUGGUAGGAGUAUAAGAGCUCCAUGGAUCAGUAUUGCAUUGGGAAAAACUUGUGCUAUAUAUUAUUUGGGUGAAUUAGCAGUUUACAGUUGAACUUCUUUGAGUUAGUAGAGUGAAUCAGUAGGCUAUUCAUUGCUUCUUUCUUCAUGGUACCCUCUACUAUCUUUACAUGCCAGUUCUUUUUUCAACUGGAUAAUUUCCUAAUUCUUCUGCACAUAAUCCUUGCUCUACCAUUGUGUAGCCAGAUUCAAUGCACUCGAAACCGGAUGGCCUGCCGAUAUGCUGUAAAUUAGUAGCAUCUUCCAUAUAUUGAUAACAGUAGAGUCCAGAUGCCUUUGUUCAUAUUAUCGUAUACAUGUCUCUGAUUUCAAAUUUCUUGUCAAAACAAACUAAUCCAUAGAAGUUUUAACAGAGCAAUAACUCUAAUUUUUUUCCCAAGAAAUCCCACCAAAACCUAUUAUAUGACAAGUUAUUCAUAAUCCUUGCAAGGCAAAUUACUACUAAACUAAAAGGAUUAAACUAUCUUUUGAUAAUGUUAGCACUUCCCUGUCUACUGAUCAUUUCAGGAAAGUUCUCUUGGAAUGGUCCUAAAAAUUGAACUUUGACGAUAAGCUUAUCAAAAAUGUAUUUCUAAUAACUACAGAAACAGAAUUAUGAUUGCUUAAAAUUACUUUCGAAUGAAUCUGCCGCCACUUUUAUUACUAAAUGUUUAAUCAAUAUAUGUAACAAACUGUUGGUACAAAAAUCAUUAAGUGAAUUUUGAGAUUUAUGCAUGCUUAAGAAUCUUACAUUUAUGAUCAAUUAGUGUGCAAUUUGAUUGAUGAUUAUAGUAGACUUCGUGUAUUGCAUCAACUUAGGUCACAUUUGCACCUGUUAAUGUAAUGCAUUCCUUGUUUGGUAGUAUUCUAUUCGGUGUGAUGUUUUUUCCACAAUGGAUUCAGAAUUAAUAUUGUUGCAUUCGGAUGUUUGCGGAUUUGACCAGUGACCUUUUCUGAAUAAUGAUAAGCUAUAUCUUAUGGUUUUAUAGAUUUAAUAUGUACUACAUUUUAAUCUUCCUAGCUGAUCAAUGUGUAAAUAACCCCUGCAAUAUGCUUGUAUUGGUACUUCUGUCUGUUUGUCGACUAUGGCAACGUAGUACAUGCAAAAAGGUUCCCGAUCUUUUAAGUAGGAAGAAGCUAGAUUUUUUUUAUAUAGGUUGGAACUGGAAUGUUUAUUCCAACCUCCAAGCUUCUUUAGUUUGCACCCACUAUGCUUUCUGACCUUGUGAAACAGAGAGGUUCAUUAUUCUAGUCAUAAGCUCAUAAUUCAUAACCUAUAAACUGAAUUUCCGUUCACUAGCAGCUCAAUCAAUAGCUGAACAGUUGAUGUUCUUAGUCAGUUUGUUCUGGUAGCUGGCAUUGAAGUCCGUUAUUCAUGUCCAAUAUUACAACCCAGUUUGUAUCUAGUGAUCUGUUGAGAUAAACUACUCUAUAUUUUAUACAUGUUAGUUCUCCAUUGUGGGAACAUUUUUGGCUAAAUGGGUUGUUAGUGUGAUUUGUUUCCUCACGUAAUUACAAUGAGCUCCACACUGAUUUGUUUCUGAUUCUCUCUAGGUGCUGCUGUGAUGGACAAAUCAUCGCCUUAGUGCUCCAUGGAUGGUUUCAAAGCAAUGUUUGGAUAGGAUUUCUGCAGACCUUAUAAAACUGAAUUAGUUACAUUUGCCUGAGAGGCAUACAUCUUUCUGUACGUCGUUAUUUUAAUGGCAGUGCUUCUUGACUUGUCUGUUUUUUAAAAUAGCACUAAUUGUGAAAUAGGCAUCUGUUUUUUCUAUUGCGUUUUUUUUAAUUUUUCCUGGCUAAUGGGUGUUUUCUUCUAUAUUACUUGAGGAAAGUUUGAAAAAACAGGACUAAAUUGUGGAUAAUUAAACAAGCAAGUUAAGACGUAUAAAGUUCAGAGAGCUUUCUAAGCAGUACUAUAAAUGUCCUGAGG